AACGUACGCUGGCGGCAGGCUUAACACAUGCAAGUCAAACGCCCCGCAAGGGGAGUGGCAGACGGGUGAGUAACGCGUGGGAAUCUACCCAUCUCUGCGGAAUAGCUCCGGGAAACUGGAAUUAAUACCGCAUACGCCCUACGGGGGAAAGAUUUAUCGGGGAUGGAUGAGCCCGCGUUGGAUUAGCUAGUGGGUGGGGUAAAGGCCUACCAAGGCGACGAUCCAUAGCUGGUCUGAGAGGAUGAUCAGCCACAUUGGGACUGAGACACGGCCCAAACUCCUACGGGAGGCAGCAGUGGGGAAUAUUGGACAAUGGGCGCAAGCCUGAUCCAGCCAUGCCGCGUGAGUGAUGAAGGCCUUAGGGUUGUAAAGCUCUUUCACCGGUGAAGAUAAUGACGGUAACCGGAGAAGAAGCCCCGGCUAACUUCGUGCCAGCAGCCGCCGUAA
rnacentral:rRNA from 1 species